UAAUAUUUGAAGUGUGAAUUCAGAUGCAAGUUCUGGCAGUGAGUGUUUCAUAUCUGAUUUGUUUGGUGAAAGAGUGAGUAUGGACAACACCAUCCACCAUUUGGUUAGCAUUUUCGGACUUGGAGCAGGUCUUUGCUAUCAAAAGUGUGGUUCAGAGAUGGUGGCAUGUGUUUGAAAAACAAAGAUGUCAAGUCCUUUCUUGCAUUUGAGGGAGCUUCUCAAGGAACUUGAUUUUAGGGACACCCCUCUUAAUUUGGCUGCUGAUCUUUGUGAGCACUUGAAGAAAUACCUUGGUACCCGGCAUGAACUAGGAACUAGCAGACAAGGUAGCAGCAGUUGGAUUCCAGCUGAAUUCUUAAUUGUAGUUCCUGAUCUUCUGUAUGGUGACUACUUCUAUAGUUCCUGAUCUUCAUGUAGUAAGAUAAUGUGUACAACAGAAGAAACUAUAUGUUGUUGUUCAUAUCUUUGCUUUUGAUCAACUUGCUGAUGUUUAUUUUAACAAAACUACUAUUAGCUGCCACUAUUGAUCGUUUUAGAAACCAAUUCAGAAUCUCCUCUAAAAAGACCAUAAAUUUGGGAGAGAGUAUAAGAAAUAAGUUAGUUAUAUAGUUAAUAAAAUUAAUUGAAUUCUAUUUAGCCUUCUAUAUAUAGAAAGAGCAUUAGUAUAUUAUAUAUAAACAGCUACAUUGAUCAUUCUUGUAUUCUAAUAGCUUACAAUGAUAAUGUUCGUAUUGCAUUGAGCAAUAUAGACUCCAAAAGAAUAUACAUAUAUAGUUUCGUCAUUCUCCCAAUCCCAAAUGCAGGUAUUUAACUGGAAACUUCCUCACGGGAGAUGUAAGUGAGGCAUGGAUAGAUAAAGCUAAUAGGAAGCACUACUUCAAUUCUGCAGCAACUCAUUCAAGAUGAGCCAGGAUGCUUGUUGGGAAUGUGCCAUGGCAAUUAAGAUCAGACAUGAGAGUCAGACAACCUUUUUCUCAAUUGUUGUGAAUAAUUCCGAGGCACUACAUGCCAUGCAUGUUCGUAUCAACAGUGAAGAGGCUGCGAAUCUUGAAGAGUUCUGAGCUUUCUACCUUUACCCGUGAGACGGAAUCUUAAAUUAUAUUCUUAUUGAUAACAUUUAUAUUGCGCCAUCAUUAGAUGCAUUGCUUAAUUUUUUGAGGGGUAAAAUAUUAUGAAAAUUGAAGAAUGCUUUGUUCAUGGGUUUUUGUAAUUAGACAUGUGAUGAGACAAAUUCAAUGUACUUUUUAAGGUAUAAAAAACUGAAGCAUAUAAAUAAUUGAUCAUCCUAGAAGGUCUAUUAUUACACUUGAAGGAAAUAGAGAUCACAACUUCUUGUUUUAUGAACUUUUCUUUAUGGUAAUAAUAGUUCACUUGGUUAGAGAUUUUUCUCAGUUUUUCUAUAAUAAUAUAAAACUCAGGAUAAAACAGAAAUCUAAGCAGUUUUCUAAGUUGUAUAUAGAUCUUUGCUGCUAAUCUUCUUUGAAAAGGUAAUUAAAUAGGUACUGCCUUGCCUCUUCUUUAAGCAAAUAAAACAAAAUAGCUUUGGAUAUAGUAGAGAGAAAGAGAUUCCAAUAAGUUGAUAAUAAGGUAGAUUAGAAUAAUGUAUGUGACGUACACACACACACUAUAUAUAUAUUUAUAAUUAUUGUAGGCACAUAUUUAAUUUCUCAUCAAUCUCUCAUUAUACAAUGAUGAUCAAUAUCGGAGCCAGCCAUAUAAAACAUCAUUGGUAUUAAAUGAUAUUACUAGGGACGGAGCUAGUGAAAUAUUAGAGAGGGGGCAAAUAUAUUUACACAAUAAAAUAAGACUAAAAUAAAAUUUUAAGGGGGACUAAACUGAAAUUUACAUAUAAUUUACAUAUAAAAAAUUAAAAUUAGGGGGAGCCAUUGCCCCCGUUUUAUGUAUGUAGCUUUGCCCCUGGAUAUUACAGUCCUUAGUAGAGACAUACAUAUUAAACAUAAGUGCAGGAUAAGGAAAGAAAGAGUGGUGCCUGAUGAGCGGAUAAUUUAUACCCUUUUUGGUAUUGUUUUUACAUAGUUUUUAGUAUGUUUUUAUUACUUUUUAUUAUAUUUUUAUUAGUUUUUAUUCAAAAAUC